UACGAAGGGGGCUAGCGUUGCUCGGAAUCACUGGGCGUAAAGCGCACGUAGGCGGGUCGUUAAGUCAGGGGUGAAAUCCUGGAGCUCAACUCCAGAACUGCCUUUGAUACUGGCGAUCUUGAGUUCGGGAGAGGUGAGUGGAACUGCGAGUGUAGAGGUGAAAUUCGUAGAUAUUCGCAAGAACACCAGUGGCGAAGGCGACUACCUGGCCUGUUCUUGACGCUGAGGCGCGAAAGCUAGGGGAGCAAACGGG
rnacentral:rRNA from 1 species